GGAUUUGGCAAAAGAUGAUGGUGAGCAGGAGAAAGAGAAGCCUUUUGGCAGGGCUAGAAUCCUCGACUGGCAGCUGGCGCCGGACCUGACAAGAGAUAACACAGGGAAGAGGUCAGAGCGGAGAGCCGAGUGUAGGCCCGUGGCCGUACAGACCUAAUUAUGUACGCUGAGAAUUGGGCGGGACCUGCUUAACUCCACCCGAGGCUGGGAGCAGUUGGCUGGAGCAGCUGGAAAUUCCGACUCCACGAGAAGGGGUGGAGACUUGGCCUGUGCAACCUUAGGCACUCAAGUGUGUGUUGUGAGCCUGUGCGCCGUGCUGUGGGCCAGGAAUCCAGACGGAGCACAGUACAGGUGGCUCGUCUCUGCUCCAUGAUGCCUGAGUUUGCAGGUGGAAGACUCCAAAGCCGGGGAUUGAAAUGGUCAGCAGGAUUUUUUGCUUACAAGACUGGCAGUGGAUGCUGGCUAUUGGCUGGGGGCUUAGUUCCUCUCUCCAUGGUCUAGGGUGGGCUUCUCUUGCAUGGUGGCUGGCUUACUGAGAGAAAGAACCAGGCCCGAGUGGUAUUUUUAUGACCCCACCUUUUUAUGACCUACAUUGCUUUCCCCCAACCCCACUAGUCAGAGCAGUCAUAGUCCCACCGAGAUUCAAGGGGAGGGAACAUGUCCCCACCCUGGAGGCUGAUGUGUCACCCUGGACAAGAAGAGCAUGGGGAGAGGAAGGGCAUCCAUCUUUGGAAAAUGUAAUCUUCCAUACUCUGUCAGAACUCUCCAUUUGCUUCUUAGGAGUGGUCCCUUUAUGCAGCAAUUGUCAAUAAUAACAGCAAUGGAAGAACUUCCUGAGGGCAGAGAUCAGGCCUGUUACUUUUUAUCUUUAUAACCUCAGCAUUUGGUCAGUAAUAGGCUCAUAACAGAUACCUGUGGAAGGAAGAACUGCUUUUGAAGUCUAUCAGCAAUUUUUCAUAUACACUGCAUCAUUUGAUCUGAAUCAGCCAUCAUGACCAUUUCACAGUUGAAGAAACAGAGGCCUACAGGAGUAAGUGGGCUACUCCCGAUGACUUAGCUAGCAAGAGCUUGGCUGUGACAUGAGCCCAGGUCUUCUGGGUUGAUGUUACCUGUAUUAAGAACUUGAUGCCUCCAAAGGGCAAAUGAAAUUCCUACGGUCCGGGACUGCUCCUUUGGCGCCCCUGCCUCCUCUAGCCUCAGAGCAGCACAGGGCCAAUCGCAGGCUAUGGACAUAGCUCCCUCAGAGCUGUGCAUACUGGUCCUGCAUCUGAUACACCCAUUUGACAUGAUGUCUUAAUAUGAUUUUACAUCUCUUUUCCUGUGGGCUCAAUGAAGGGCUUGGACACAGACUCUGACACUGCUUUCAGCUUCCAGGAUGGGUAGAAGGCCAGGAUGAAGUUGCUCCUCAAAUCUCUGUGCUGGCAGUGAGCAGGCAGCACCCACAACAGGAGUAAGAAGUGUCAGGGAGCAUUCAUGUGGAGCAAUCAGAUGAUGAUCUGAGGUAACUGCAUAGGAAGAGGGGAAAACCUGGAACAGAAGUGGCUGAGGCAGUUCCAGGAGGUCCAGCUCAGGGGAGAGGGGAUCCAAUUUCCACCGCCUCCUCAAUUCACUUCCCAGCCCUAAAAAUGCUCUCAGCCUCAGAGGGAAAUCCUGGCAAAGUAGCCCGUGAGGGUGCAGGGGUGUUUAUCAAGAUUGGGAGUGGGUGGGAGCAGAUCUUAGAACUUGCAUCAGGCCUCCAUUUUCCAAAUCCGGCUUGUGCCCUGCCACCCCCUCCCCCCAAACCGAUCUGACUUUAUCUCUUUAGAGAUGUCCCUGAGUUAGCAGUUUCUUUCUCAGAUAUUGCAGAUCAGGAAGGACUUUUGGAAACCACAGUUUCCACUUCCGCUGUGGGGGCAGAAAGCAUGGGCAGCCUAACCCCCUGGUGCUUGGGAAGUAACAAGAAGGACCAAAGGCAGCUCCUUCAUGUGGGACUCCUGCCCAUACCAGGUCUCCACUCUCCUGUACCAGCCCUCCGGGGACCUCUUAGGCCAUCUCUUCCCUCUGGUUUCUCCCCAGCCUGUUCCCCUCUGCUAGCAUGUUCUCUGGCUCUGGCGUUCUCUUCUGAACGUAGCUUUCUGUGACUUCCCACAUCAUCCCGACUUCUGGGCCUCACCUUUGUGGACCUUGGUGGACUGGCUUUGACUGUAUCAUUUGUGAGUCAGCUUUGCUGCUUUGUUCCGGCCCCACCAAUGUGCUUAUGCUCUCCUCCACGUAGGAAUUACUCAUUGCUUAUGUCACCAAUCCCAGUGGAAUGUGCCCCCUCCUCUGUGACACCCAUUCACCACACAUCCUUUAUUACUUUGUUUAAACUAACAAUGCUGUUUUCCCCCCUUCUGAUGAUUAAAAUGAUAUGUGUUUGUUAUGGAAAAUCUGUAAACUACAAAAGGUAUAUGAAAGAAAAUUAACAGUACCCGUAAUUCCAGCCCAAAUAUAAGAAACAUUUCAUGCUGGUGGGUUUCCUUCUAGUAUUCUCGGCUGUGCUUCAGCCUGCCUCAGGCCUCCAUGCAUGCCAAUUAUUCCUUCUACCUCCAAAUCUCUCCCUCUGCCUUUUCCCUCCCCACCCCCACCAGCUUUCUCUCUUCCCUCCCUCAUUCUGCCAGUAAAUCAACUCAUCCUUAAUAUCGUAAAGGUCCUUCUUUCAAAAAACCUUCAUCUACCCCCUGGUUAGGUCUUCCUGUCAGACACUCACAGUCCCCAGUACUUUUCCUUGUAGCAAAACUGGAAAUAAACGGUUGGUUUUGUACUCAAGUGUUUAACGUCUGUCUCAGCAACUUGACUUGACAUAAGUCCAUGAUUGGCUUUCUUGUUUAUCCUUUGACCCAGUCAUUCACCACAGUGCCCUGUGUACAGAAAACACACAGCACUUCACACCAAAACACCUUCCUAGAAGAGCCAUGUGUCUGUCCUCUCCAUACUUUAAAAAAGUCAAUUUAAUAAAAACAGUGAACUAAUUGCCAUAUGUCUGACCUAGUUCCAUGUACAGGGUGCCAGCUCUUGUCCUCAAGGAGCCCUAUGUCUUUUAAGGGUGACAAUGAGUAAGCGGAGCAUUCUGAUAUAUCCUUAAAUAUAAGGUGACCAAUAGUUAAGUAAAGCGUGGAGGAAGGGUCCCUAAGCUAGCCUUGGGGAGGUGACACUGUUGUUUUAAUGUGUCCUUGUCAAUGUAUUUACUUUAGAGAAUAAUCAUAGGAUGACUGAAUUGGAUGGAAUUGUGAGAUCACCAGCCCCACCUCUCUCUGUAAGUGAUGGGACUUGGCCAAAACCAUCUGGUAAUUUACUGGUGGCAAAUCUGGGAUUAGAACCUCAAUCUGAGCUUCUUCAGCCCUGUGCUCUUUCCUGUUACUUUGGGGGCCUUUGGAGUUCUCCCAGUCUUCCUCCCAUUCUAUUAAUCACCAAGUCCUGUUGAUUUUACCUUAUAAAGGCCUCUCGGCCUGUCCACUUCUCCUCAUUUCUUCCAUCAUCUCCAGCCCGGACACCUAUGCUCACCUCCUACCGUGUCUCUCUGCUUCUGGUCUUGCCCCGCUCAGAUCCCUUCUUUACUUUGCAGUCAGAGUGAGCCUUCACAGACAGAAGUGUGAGCGUGUCUAUCCCCAGCUUAAAACCCACUGAGCUUUUAGGAAUAUGUUCAAAAUUCUUAAUAUGUUGUAGUAGUCUGCUCAGGCUGCCAUAACAAGAUACCACAGAUUGGAUGGCUUAAACAACAGAAAUGUAUUUCUCACAACUCGGCAGACUCUAAGUCCAAGGUAAGGUGCCGGUAAGGUAGGCUUAAUGCUGAGUCCUCUUUACUUGAGUUGUGGUGCUUGCUAUCCUCCCUGGUGCUCAUAGGGCCUCUUCUUGGUGUGCACUUGGAGGGAAAGCUCUUAUAUCUCCUCCUUCUUUUAUAAAGACACCAAUCCUAUCAGAUUAGGGCUCCAUUCUUAGGACUGCAUUUAACAUUAAUGACCUUCUGAAGACCCUAUCUCCAAAUCUAGUCACAUUGAAAUUUAGUCUUCAGCAUAUGAAUUUUGGUGGGGGCACAAUUCAGUUCAUAGUAUGUGGUCCACCAGGCUCUUCUCAAUCCAGCCCACCUUACCAGAUUCUUCUAAGCCCCACUCUCCUUUCGGCCUCUAGGCUUCUGCAUCUUGAGUUUCUCUUGGUUCCUUGAACUUGUUCAGCUCUCUUGCAGCUCUGAUCUCCCCAGCAGCCUGCCUUCUUCUUCUGCCUGCCUUACUCCUAUUUAGUCUUUGUAAGGAAAAAGUCUAUCUAGCCUUAGAGCAAGCAUAUAUAGUUUUGCCUUCUUUUGCCCUGAAUUCACCAAGACAUCAUAGAACCUGUCUUCAAUCUUUUUGAGAACACCUGCUCUUUUGAGACCCAAAGAUGACCAGCUAUAAAGUAGAGGGUACAACCCCCUCUGUGAGCUAGAGAUGGGCACUCAACUCCUGCCUUACUGGUGGGCUUCCUCCUUUGGCACCUAUAUCUAGUGCUUUCAAUUUCUGCUUAGGGAGACCCACUGAAUUCAUUUCUUUAGGGACAUGGCUCUCCCUUGCCUAUUAAGCAAUAAACUCAGCUCCUGCCCCACCAGUUCUGAUGUUUCUAUGUUUUAGUUAGUCACUUUCAAGUCUUAUUUUAAGUGUCAGUUUCUAAGGAAAGCUUUCCCUGAUCCUCCGUCCUGUGUUUAGUCCUCUGGCUCUACAUCCUAAGGCAGCCUGUAUGCCCCCUUUUGUAAAACUCACCACCUCAUUCCCAUAUGUUUCAUGUCUGUCCUUCUGAGCUCUGUAACGUAGGAUGCAUCUCUGGCUGGUUGCAGUACUCCCAGAGCUAGUACAGUGUCAGGCUCCUGGAAAGCUGUCAGUAAAUAUUAGCUUUUAUUAGUAGAUGCUCCAUAGAUACCUAUUGGCCUGAGUUAUCCUCAAAUAGUUUCCCAAAUAGUAUAAGCAUUUUGUUGUCUAAAUUGGACUGAAAUUUCUCAGAAGGAUCCUUUCUAUUCCUUAAAGAAACUCUCCCACACUCUGCCCUCCUGGGCUUCUUCAUCCAAGAAACAUUUCAUGAAUGAUUAUUAAUUGAUUUA